rnacentral:rRNA from 1 species
AUACGUAGGGGGCGAGCGUUGUCCGGAAUUACUGGGCGUAAAGAGCUCGUAGGUGGUUUGUCGCGUCGUCUGUGAAAUUCCUGAGCUCAACUCGGGCGCUGCUUCUGAAACUGCAGGACUUGAGUGCUGGAGGGGAUAGCGGAAUUCCUAGUGGAGCGGUAAAAUGCGCAGAUAUUAGGAAGAACACCGGUGGCGAAGGCGGCUAUCUGGACAGUAACUGACGCUGAGGCGCGAAAGCGUGGGGAGCAAACAGGAUUAGAUACCCUGGUAGUCCACGCUGUAAACGACGAAUACUAGGUGUAGGGGGUAUCAACUCCCUCUGUGCCGCAGCAAACGCAAUAAGUAUUCCGCCUGGGGAGUACGGCCGCAAGGUUGAAACUCAAAUGAAUUGACGGGG